GGCGAGGUGGCCUAGUGAUUAAGGCGAUAGACUGCUAAUCUCUGCCGCGUGGGUUCGAAUCCCAUCCUCGUUCG